rnacentral:lncRNA from 1 species
CCCCCACAGUACUGGAGGGGUAUCUUCAAACCACCAACUUAAUACCCUGAGACAAGGCCGAAUAUAGCCCACGAAGAUCUCCCCAACGGCAGGAACCCGAGGGGGGCGCCAACCCGGACAGGAAGAUCACGUCAGUGACUCAACGCACUCAAGUGAAGCACCCCUCUUAGGGACAGCAUGGAAGAGCACCAGUAAGCCAGUGACUCAGCCCCCGUAACAGGGUUUGAGGCAGAGAAGGUACUGUAACAGGAGUAGUGUAGAGAGCAGAGAAGGUAAUGUAACAGGAGUAGUGUAGGGUUUAGUGAAGGUACUGUAACAGGAGUAGUGUAGGGUGUAGUGAAGGUACUGUAACAGGAGUAGUGUAGGGUGUAGUGAAGGUACUGUAACAGGAGUAGUGUAGGGUGUAGUGAAGGUACUGUGACAGGAGUAGUGUAGGGUGUAGUGAAGGUACUGUAACAGGAGUAGUGUAGGGUGUAGUGAAGGUACUGUAACA